rnacentral:rRNA from 1 species
UACAGAGGUGGCAAGCGUUGUUCGGAAUUACUGGGCGUAAAGGGCGCGUAGGCGGCCUUCUAAGUCAGACGUGAAAUCCCCCGGCUUAACCUGGGAACUGCGUCUGAUACUGGGAGGCUAGAGUAUGGGAGAGGGAUGUAGAAUUCCAGGUGUAGCGGUGAAAUGCGUAGAUAUCUGGAGGAAUACUGGUGGCGAAGGCGGCAUCCUGGACCAUUACUGACGCUGAGGCGCGAAAGCUAGGGGAGCAAACGGG